UGGGGAAUCUUGCGCAAUGGGCGAAAGCCUGACGCAGCCAUGCCGCGUGAGUGAUGAAGGCCUUAGGGUUGUAAAACUCUUUCACCGGGGACGAUAAUGACGGUACCCGGAGAAGAAGCCCCGGCUAACUUUGUGCCAGCAGCCGCGGUAAUACGAAGGGGGCUAGCGUUGCUCGGAAUUACUGGGCGUAAAGGGCGCGUAGGCGGAUCAGCAAGUUGGGGGUGAAAGCCCGGGGCUCAACCUCGGAAUUGCCUUCAAAACUGCUGAUCUAGAGUACGGGAGAGGUGUGUGGAACUCCGAGUGUAGAGGUGAAAUUCGUAGAUAUUCGGAAGAACACCAGUGGCGAAGGCGACACACUGGCCCGUUACUGACGCUGAGGCGCGAAAGCGUGGGGAGCAAACAGGAUUAGAUACCCUGGUAGUCCACGCUGUAAACGAUGAUUGCUAGUUGUCGGCAGGCAUGCCUUCGGUGACGCAGCUAACGCAUU
rnacentral:rRNA from 1 species